rnacentral:rRNA from 1 species
GGACUACUCGGGUAUCUAAUCCUGUUUGAUCCCCACGCUUUCGUGCCUCAGCGUCAGUUGUCGUCCAGAUAGGCGCCUUCGCCACCGGUGUUCCUUCUAAUAUCUACGUAUUUCACCACUACAUUAGAAAUUCCCCUAUCCCCUCCGACACUCCAGCUCAACAGUUUCAAAGGCAGUUCCAAGGUUAAGCCUUGGCAUUUCACCCCUGACUUGUUAAGCCGCCUACGCACGCUUUACGCCCAGUGAUUCCGAACAACGCUAGCACCCUUCGUAUUACCGCGGCUGCUGGCAC